rnacentral:rRNA from 2 species
GAUGAACGCUGGCGGCGCGCCUAACACAUGCAAGUCGAACGGUUAAAGCACCUUUUAGGUGUGUAUAAAGUGGCGAACGGCUGAGUAACACGUGGGCAACCUGCCCUCCUCUUGGGGAUAGCCUCGGGAAACCGAGGAUAAUACCCGAUACUUCAAUGUGGCCGCAUGACGACAUUGAGAAAGCUUUUGCGGAGAAGGAUGGGCCCGCGGCCUGUUAGCUUGUUGGUGGGGUAGAGGCCUACCAAGGCAAUGAUGGGUAGCUGGGUUGAGAGACCGACCAGCCAGAUUGGGACUGAGACACGGCCCAGACUCCUACGGGAGGCAGCAGUGGGGAAUCUUGCACAAUGGGCGAAAGCCUGAUGCAGCGACGCCGCGUGCGGGACGAAGGCCUUCGGGUUGUAAACCGCUUUCAGCAGGGACGAGGCGAAAGUGACGGUACCUGCAGAAGAAGCCCCGCUAACUAC